UAGAUAAAGCCAAAACCAAAUUCACUGGUCCAAAGAAAACCAAAUACUUGUUGCAGAGAGAGAGGAAGACACAGUAGACGGACGCAGGGCGCCCACAGCAACAGUUGAAAUUUUAUGGAUAACGGAGCACCUUAUAAAGACGUUUCUGAGGAGCUGGCAACGACUAGGGAGUUGCUCAUUGCGAUUUCUCACCCUGUUGGAGAUCAGGUCCGUGAUUUGAGUUUCGUGCCUGUGGACGGGCUUGCAGUGUCAAAUGGUGAUGUAUCGGAGCAGUACCGGUCUGACCUGAUUUCUAUUUCUUAUGAGUCCCCUGAUAUAUACAACUUAUGAGCUUCAACUGGAAAACCAUAAAGAUUACCAAUGCCAAGUUCCCCUUCCGUUUUCAACUAUGAAUAACUCUACAUUGCAAAGUUUUCAAUUGUUUUCCGUCAUUUCUGAUGUCAAAUGUAAAGCAUAAGUUACAUUGAUAGACACCUGGUGUCAUUAGUGUGAUAAACCUUAUAAGGAUAAUGAUGAAUGGUAAUGGUUAUUGGUUUCUCCAUGCUUC